AGGUGGUGUGGAUGAUACUGGCUGCACUGUUGGAGCUUGGACUCGGAGAGGAACAGCUGAUGAUGAGCCUUCAGUUGACUAAGAUGACAAACGGUGCCUGUGUAUUUCUUGAGGCAGAGGGACUUUACCAUGCAGCAACCUGAGAGCUAAGUUGGGGGGCACCUGGUAUUUGCAUAUCUGGGGUGGCUAAUGGGAGCUG